rnacentral:rRNA from 1 species
GACGAACGCUGGCGGCGUGCUUAACACAUGCCAGUCGAACGGAAAGGCCCUGCUUUUGUGGGGUGCUCGAGUGGCGAACGGGUGAGUAACACGUGAGUAACCUGCCCUUGACUUUGGGAUAACUUCAGGAAACUGGGGCUAAUACCGGAUAGGAGCUCCUGCUGCAUGGUGGGGGUUGGAAAGUUUCGGCGGUUGGGGAUGGACUCGCGGCUUAUCAGCUUGUUGGUGGGGUAGUGGCUUACCAAGGCUUUGACGGGUAGCCGGCCUGAGAGGGUGACCGGCCACAUUGGGACGGGGAUACGGCCCAGACUCCUACGGGAGGCAGCAGUGGGGAAUAUUGCACAAUGGGCGGAAGCCUGAUGCAGCAACGCCGCGUGCGGGAUGACGGCCUUCGGGUGGUAAACCGCUUUCGCCUGUGACGAAGCGUGAGUGACGGAAAUGGGUAAAGAAGCACCGGCUAACUACGU